AGCGAACGCUGGCGGCAGGCCUAACACAUGCAAGUCGAACGAGGUCUUCGGACCUAGUGGCGGACGGGUGAGUAACACGUGGGAACGUGCCCUUUGGUACGGAAUAACUCAGGGAAACUUGAGCUAAUACCGUAUGUGCCCUUCGGGGGAAAGAUUUAUCGCCAUUGGAGCGGCCCGCGUCUGAUUAGCUAGUUGGUGAGGUAACGGCUCACCAAGGCGACGAUCAGUAGCUGGUCUGAGAGGAUGACCAGCCACAUUGGGACUGAGACACGGCCCAAACUCCUACGGGAGGCAGCAGUGGGGAAUCUUGCGCAAUGGGCGAAAGCCUGACGCAGCCAUGCCGCGUGGAUGAUGAAGGUCUUAGGAUUGUAAAAUCCUUUCACCGGUGAAGAUAAUGACUGUAGCCGGAGAAGAAGUCCCGGCUAACUUCGUGCCAGCAGCCGCGGUAA
rnacentral:rRNA from 1 species